rnacentral:tRNA from 1 species
GCACCCGUAGCUCAGUGGAUAGAGCACUGGUUUCCGGUACCAGGUGUCGUGGGUUCGACUCCCGCCGGGUGUACCA